rnacentral:rRNA from 1 species
AGCAGCCGCGGUAAUUCCAGCUCCAAUAGCGUAUAUUAAAGUUGUUGCAGUUAAAAAGCUCGUAGUUGAAUUUCGGGAUCAAUAUAUCGGUCGUGCCAUCGGUACGUACUGGUAUGAUUGGUUUCUCCUUUCUGACGAACCAUGAUGUCAUUAAUUUGGUGUUAUGGGAAGUUAGGACUGUUACUUUGAAAAAUUAGAGUGUUUAAAGCAGGCUUUAGCUUGAAUACAUUAGCAUGGAAUAAUGAAAUAGGACGUUCGAACCUAUUUUGUUGGUUUCUAGGAUCAACGUAAUGAUUAAUAGGGAUAGUUGGGGGCAUUAGUAUUCAAUUGUCAGAGGUGAAAUUCUUGGAUUUAUUGAAGACUAACUACUGCGAAAGCAUUUGCCAAGGAUGUUUUCAUUAAUCAAGAACGAAAGUUAGGGGAUCGAAGACGAUCAGAUACCGUCGUAGU